GUGGGGAAUAUUGCACAAUGGGGGAAACCCUGAUGCAGCAACGCCGCGUGAGGGAAGAAGGUUUUCGGAUUGUAAACCUCUGUCCCUGGUGACGAAGACAGUGACGGUAACCAGGGAGGAAGCCACGGCUAACUACGUGCCAGCAGCCGCGGUAAUACGUAGGUGGCAAGCGUUGUCCGGAUUUACUGGGUAUAAAGGGAGCGCAGGCGGGGAAGCAAGUCAGCGGUGAAAUACAUGGGCUUAACCCAUGAACUGCCGUUGAAACUGUUUUUCUUGAGUGAAGUAGAGGCAGGCGGAAUUCCGAGUGUAGCGGUGAAAUGCGUAGAUAUUCGGAGGAACACCAGUGGCGAAGGCGGCCUGCUGGGCUUUUACUGACGCUGAGGCUCGAAAGCGUGGGGAGCAAACAGGAUUAGAAACCCUUGUAGUCC
rnacentral:rRNA from 1 species